AGAGUUUGAUCCUGGCUCAGGACGAACGCUGGCGGCGUGCUUAACACAUGCAAGUCACGGGGGCCCGCAAGGGUAACCGGCGAACGGGUGCGUAACACGUGAGCAAUCUGCCGUCCACUGGGGGAUAGCCGGCCCAACGGCCGGGUAAUACCGCAUACGCUUGCCGGGUGGCAUCACUUGGCAAGGAAACCUCCGGGGGUGGACGAGGAGCUCGCGGCCUAUCAGCUAGUUGGUGGGGUCACGGCCCACCAAGGCGAUGACGGGUAGCUGGUCUGAGAGGAUGGCCAGCCACAUUGGGACUGAGAUACGGCCCAGACUCCUACGGGAGGCAGCAGUGGGGAAUAUUGCGCAAUGGCCGCAAGGCUGACGCAGCGACGCCGCGUGGGGGAUGAAGCAUUUCGGUGUGUAAACCCCUGUUGCCCGGGACGAACCUCCCCUUUCGAGGGGACUGACGGUACCGGGUGAGGAAGCACCGGCUAACUCCGUGCCAGCAGCCGCGGUAAUACGGAGGGUGCGAGCGUUGUCCGGAAUCACUGGGCGUAAAGGGCGCGUAGGCGGUGACUUAAGCGUGUGGUGAAAGCCCGGGGCUCAACCCCGGGUCGGCCGUGCGGACUGGGUCACUCGAGCACUGUAGAGGCAGGUGGAAUUCCGGGUGUAGCGGUGGAAUGCGUAGAGAUCCGGAAGAACACCAGUGGCGAAGGCGGCCUGCUGGGCAGUAGCUGACGCUGAGGCGCGACAGCGUGGGAGCAAACAGGAUUAGAUACCCUGGUAGUCCACGCCGUAAACGAUGGGCACUAGUG
rnacentral:rRNA from 1 species